UGGAAAAUUUGCUGGAGAAAGUUGAUUAAGUAACAUUUCACGGAAGAGGAGAAUUGUAAUAACCAUUUGAUAGAAGAGAGAUGUCCUUGAACUCAAUCUAUCCUGAAGAUGCUCCUGAGAGGGCAAACAAAUAACAUCUCUCUGGAAGGAUGCCUGCCUUUGUCAAAGCUUUCAAAUCUGUAUGACUUCUAUCUUUCCUUGGCUUCCCUUACUCAAUUAGUCAAGGAUCCUUGUGGAUGUUUAACAUAAAAUGUCACUCACAUCUGCCCUCCUCCUCAACUUUCCAUUCCAUCCUCUCCACAGAUGCCUGAUGCAUUUUCUUCUGACUCAGUCUUCUGUUUUUCAUGGAGAACACAGAGCAAGACAGAAGCUCCCAACUGUGGCAUCCAAGAGCAACUUGAGCUGCUCCCUUACUUAUCUCUGGUCUGGCUCAAACUCUUUGUG
rnacentral:lncRNA from 1 species